rnacentral:lncRNA from 1 species
ACAGAUAUUUGUGGAGGAAACUGACCUCCUUGACUCAUUUUGAUCUGGGUUGAGAUCAGGGUUGGAACUGAAUCAGCCUUGGUUGCCUUGAGGGGUGACCUUGUAUCGAGAGAAGGACGGCGGGAGGCCACAUUGCAUUGCCUUUCUCCUGCUGAUUUUGAGUUGCUUUUAUUGCCGAUUGUACAUUGCCUUGAAAUAUAUAUGUGGAAGUUUAAUAAAUAAAAACAGAUAGGUGGGGGGAGGGAUGGUUCUGCCCUCUCAACCUGUGACUCUAGGUUUGCUCAGGAGGUUUUGGCAAGGAACCCGGAGAUUUUCCAAAAGUGCCUCUUAACCUGGUGCCUGUUUCCUCCUCCUUAACAGCUUCUGCUACAACUGAGUUGGGACAUUUCUGAUGAGCCGUUAUUUUUUGCAUUCGCUGUGUCAUCAACAGUUGCAGUUGCAGCGUUUAACUGUCCUCCCCACGGUCUGCUUAUUUGUGGAAUUAUCAUCCUCUGGCCCAGGGGGAGCUGCCUUCUGCGGGGGGGGGGGGGGAGGUGUGCUUUGGGCCAGGAAGCCUGCAGGCCAGUUAUGGUCAGAAAUGGGGGGGAUGGGGCCUCCCUGCUCUCCUUGCUGCUCUGACCUACCUGGCAAGGGCAGCGGGGGCAGCAGCAGCCCCCUGCAAGGGGGAAAGACCUUCCUCCUCACAGUCCCAACUCCCCAGCUCAGGGUGCUGCUGCAGCUGCAGGGAGCAAGGGGGGCAGUGGGGGGGGGACUUGAAGCCCCGAAUCUCCUUUCUCUUUCAAGCCGCCUCCAUUCUUCUGAAGUUAGGAAUAAGCUUUCUGUAUACCAAAAAUUUUGGUGCUUCAGAAAAUUACCGCCUAACAGCCACCCUAGUGAAUGCAAGUGGAGGGGGGGGGGCAGGACAGGUGGGGGUGCGUGAUAUUCCUUCCUCUCGUUUCCUCCUGGGCCUGAAAUGCAGGAAGCUCUUCUGCCUGGCUGAGGAUGAAAUCUCAUUAGCAGAGCAUUAUUAGGGACCUCGGCUGGCAUCUCACAGGCAAUAAAACAUCCCAGAGGCCAUCAGUUGAGCCUCGCCUCCUAGGGAAGUGUUGCUCAGAGCAGACCUAUUGAGAUCAGUCAUGUUUGUUCAUUUCAGUGGGCCUCCUCUGAGUAAAGCUUAUUUGGCGACAACCCCCUCUCACGUGAGGAGGCCCUUGUUAGGGUCAUGGAAGGAGCCCAGCGCCAAGCGACAGGGGGGGCCCAGCUCAGUUUGCAGGCCAUGGCAGCAUCCUGCUCCCCACACCCCUUGUAAGCCUGGCCCCUUAUCUUUCUCUGCUAGGUUUAGUCCAGUCUGAAAAGCUGGAAGCAGGACAGGCCACGUGAACUGAUCUUGCUACAGACACACACACACAGCAAGCAGGUGUUAUACUGCAUCAAGUACUUUCAGACUAGACUCCUGUCAUCUGCUCUCCGUGGGGCAGCCCUUGAACACCUCUGGAAACUGCAAAAAGGUCCAAAUGCCGCAGCCACACAUUUGCUGGAAAACAGCUGAUCCUAUUUGAAGAUCCAGUUCAUUCUUUGUGGAUUCCCUGCUUAUUUUGGGGCUCAACGGAAGGUGCUGGUUCUUCCCUUUAGCAGACUGGGACCUAAUGGGCAGCCUAAGGACCGCUUUUUCCUCUCUGCCCCUUCCCAUGUGCUGUGGUCCACAUCAGAGGUCCUGUCCAUUGAGGGGCAGUGGGUGAAUGAGCGCAAGGGGGGGCAGCAGGGCCUCUUCAGUGGAAGCCCCUCCAUAGGGCAAGAAGAAGCCCACCUGGCCUGCCCUCUGCUCUUAUGAUGCCCUCAGGAGAGAAAGGGGGCACAUAGGGGCAGGCAAAGGGAUCUGGCAUUUUUGCCUUUUGCUGCUGUUGGAGAAUAAGUCCUGGAGCCAUUGGAGGGGACCCCAAGGGUCAUCUAGUCCAACCCCUGCAAUGCAGGGAUCACAGGUCUGCUGCUUUUUAUUGUUUGCUGGGGCUUUACAAGGCAAACAACAUUGUGGUGUUUUAUCAUUUUGUGACUGGAUGGUUAGACCCCUUGGCCUGGGCGGACAGUAGUCGUAUGCAAACAAAUAAAACCUGCAUGGCUGAAGGCCAGACGAGUUCUCCCCAACCCGGUGCCCUCCAGAGGUUUGUUUAUUAUGUGACAGAAAGGGGCACGUCUCCCUCAGGCGGGAGAUUCCACAAUCUGGGAUUCUGAUGCACCUGGACCAGGGGUUCUCCAAGGGUGUGGCAGGAGAGGAGGGCGAGUGUGGCAGGAAGAUUCAAGAACAACCAAUAUUGUAUUUGAGAACAAUUCAUGUUCUUAUGUAGCUGCAUUGUUUUAUAUUUCCUGGAUGUCCCUU